CUUCACCAUUCGACCGUGUCCGCCGACAAUCUUGGAUACUACAUAAAGCUCACCGUGAGGAUCGACCAUGAGGGUUUCGGCAUUGUGUUCGCUCCAGCUGCAUUGAAAAUGGAAAUCAGACGUCGACAUUGGCAUUGAGAACUGUGUCGAAAAAGUCACAUCAGAGCAGAGCUACGCAAAAACAGAUUUGUCUUGAAUAAACUGUAUUAUUUAAAUGAAAUUAGUUAACUCGUAAUGUUCAGCAACACACACAAUUCUAAAUAUUUGGAUCACAUUUUUGGAACCGUCAAUACACAAAAAUGUGGAAACGUACGCGAAUGUAAGCGUCGAGUCGAGGUUAACAGUGAGAUGUGAAGAGAAUGUCGCCGGCUCCUUAAUCCGGUAAAUGGUGUUGGCGGCUGCAUGGGUAUUGCCGCCUAUGUCGGCGAUGUAGAUACAAAACUCUUGCGGGUGGCCUGUAGAUUAAAACAAUGGAGUAAAUGAAUAUCUAAACACGCGUCAAUAAUAAUUGUGUAUAUAGCAAUGCAUAUAAAUUGUACAGUUAAAUUUUUGUACAUAAUAUUUAGGAUUUAUUUUCAAAUAUAAAUUUAUCACUUAUAAUCAAUUGAUUGACAUGUAAAACAAAAAACGCGCAUUACCAUACCGGGACAUUUGCCACAGGCAAUAUCCUCCCAGUCGAUAUUGGUGGCACCGUGGAUUGUGAUCUGUGCAAUCGUGCUACCGUCGUGAGCAGAGAUGGCGUAGAUACUUCCGGUGUGGUCCCCGGAGUCGUUGUGCGUGUACAGAACAUCCCGAUGGAGGCGGCUGGCGCACAGUCCCGAUGCCUCGUGGAUUUCAUUGCUGCUUACCGUAGCUACCUUUA